CUAAGGCGAGGCAGAGAUGCGUAGUCGAUGGGAAACAGAUUAAUAUUUCUGUACUUUUAAUCAUUGCGAUGGGGGGACGGAGAAGGCUAGGUGAGCACGGCGUUGGUUGUCCGUGUGAAAGUAUGUAGGUUGAAUUCUUAGGCAAAUCCGGGAAUUCUUAAGACUGAGAUACGAGACGAGUCACUAAGGUGAUGAAGUCAUUGAUGCCAUACUUCCAGGAAAAGCCUCUAAGCUUCAGAUGAUUAAGAACCGUACCCUAAACCGACACAGG
rnacentral:rRNA from 17 species